ACCAUCUUAGUUUAAUAAAAACAAAAAUUUGUGAAAUUUUAGAAGAGAGAAAUAACACUUUCAGAUAGUC
rnacentral:tRNA from 1 species